rnacentral:lncRNA from 1 species
GGUAAUGAUGCAAAAGACACUACUAUUCCAGUUGAAGUCUAGAGAUAUUGCUUGCUCACAAAUAGGCCUGAGGUAUCAGAUACACUUUUUAUGUGGUCUGACUUGCAAGCAAAAUUAAAUACUGAGUUGCUGAAUAACUUGGGAAAACUUCGUCAACAGAGUUUUGAGUUUUAUUGCCAAACCUGCAGGUCAAGGAUAUGAUUCCAUUAUUCCUACUAUUCCUGAUGAUGUAAGCGGUGACUCCCAUGAUCCAACCAAAAAAUUGGCCAGCAAAACCUGCAGGUCAAGGAUAUGAUUCCAUUAUUCCUACUAUUCCUGAUGAUGUAAGCGGUGACUCCCAUGAUCCAACCAAAAAAUUGGCCAGCAAAGUUGCUG